UACAGAGGGUGCAAGCGUUAAUCGGAAUUACUGGGCGUAAAGCGUGCGUAGACGGUAGCGUAAGUCGGGUGUGAAAGCCCCGGGCUCAACCUGGGAAUUGCAUUCGAGACUGCUCUGCUAGGGUGCGGAAGAGGGGAGCGGAAUUUCCGGUGUAGCGGUGAAAUGCGUAGAUAUCGGAAGGAACACCAGUGGCGAAAGCGGCUCCCUGGUCCAGCACCGACGUUCAGGCACGAAAGCGUGGGGAGCAAACAGG
rnacentral:rRNA from 2 species